UGCAAGUCGAACGGGAUGGACGUUGUAGCAAUACGAUUGUCCUGAGAGUGGCGAAAGGGCGAGUAAUGCAUGGGUAAUCUACCCUCGAGCUGGGGAUAACGCCGUGAAAACGGCGCUAAUACCGAAUGUGGCCCUCCAGGGCAUCCUGGAGACGCUAAAGGCGGGGACCGCAAGGCCUGCCGCUCAAGGAGGAACCCGUGUGCCAUCAGCUUGUUGGCGGGGUAACGGCUCACCAAGGCUUACGGCUAGCUGGUCUGAGAGGACGACCAGCCGCACUGGGACUGAGACACUGCCCAGACUCCUACGGGAGGCUGCAGUCGAGGAUCAUUCGCAAUGGGCGAAAGCCUGACGAUGCGACGCUGCGUGGAGGAUGACGGCCUUCGGGUUGUAAACUCCUGUCAUGCGGGGAAAAGGUGCCGGGUGUGAACAGCAUCCGGCCUCGAUAGUACCGCAAGAGGAAGCCACGGCUAACUCUGUGCCAGCAGCCGCGGUAAUACAGAGGUGGCGAGCGUUGUUCGGAUUUACUGGGCGUAAAGGGCGCGUAGGCGGUUUGGUGUGUCGAGUGUGAAAUCUCCAGGCUCAACCUGGAAAGUGCGCUCGAAACUGCCGGACUCGAGCAUGGUAGGGGAGAGCGGAAUACACGGUGUAGCGGUGAAAUGCGUUGAUAUCGUGUAGAACACCGGUGGCGAAGGCGGCUCUCUGGAACAUUGCUGACGCUGAGGCGCGAAAGUUGGGGGAGCAAACAGGAUUAGAUACCCUGGUAGUCCCAACUGUAAACGGUGUGCACUGGACGUGGAGGGAUUUCACCCCCUCCGUGUC
rnacentral:rRNA from 1 species